GAUGAACGCGGCGGCGCGCCUAACACAUGCAAGUCGAACGGUUAAAGCAUCUUCGGAUGUGCAUAAAGUGGCGAACGGCUGAGUAACACGUGGGCAACCUGCCCCUCGCAUCGGGACAGCCUCGGGAAACCGUGGUUAAUACCGGAUACUCCGCCACCCCCGCAUGGGGGAGGCGGGAAAGCCCAGACGGCGAGGGAUGGGCCCGCGGCCUGUUAGCUUGUUGGUGGGGCAGUGGCCCACCAAGGCGAUGAUGGGUAGCCGGGUUGAGAGACCGACCGGCCAGAUUGGGACUGAGACACGGCCCAGACUCCUACGGGAGGCAGCAGUGGGGAAUCUUGCACAAUGGGCGAAAGCCUGAUGCAGCGACGCCGCGUGCGGGACGAAGGCCUUCGGGUCGUAAACCGCUUUCAGCAGGGACGAGGCCGCAAGGUGACGUA
rnacentral:rRNA from 1 species